GGGUUGUGAGGUUAAGCGACUAAGCGUACACGGUGGAUGCCCUGGCAGUCAGAGGCGAUGAAGGACGUGCUAAUCUGCGAUAAGCGUCGGUAAGGUGAUAUGAACCGUUAUAACCGGCGAUUUCCGAAUGGGGAAACCCAGUGUGUUUCGACACACUAUCAUUAACUGAAUCCAUAGGUUAAUGAGGCGAACCGGGGGAACUGAAACAUCUAAGUACCCCGAGGAAAAGAAAUCAACCGAGAUUCCCCCAGUAGCGGCGAGCGAACGGGGAGGAGCCCAGAGCCUGAAUCAGUGUGUGUGUUAGUGGAAGCGUCUGGAAAGGCGCGCGAUACAGGGUGACAGCCCCGUACACAAAAAUGCACAUGCUGUGAGCUCGAUGAGUAGGGCGGGACACGUGGUAUCCUGUCUGAAUAUGGGGGGACCAUCCUCCAAGGCUAAAUACUCCUGACUGACCGAUAGUGAACCAGUACCGUGAGGGAAAGGCGAAAAGAACCCCGGCGAGGGGAGUGAAAAAGAACCUGAAACCGUGUACGUACAAGCAGUGGGAGCACGCUUAGGCGUGUGACUGCGUA
rnacentral:rRNA from 1 species